UUGCUUUCUUUUUAAAAAAAUAAAUGAUUUUAUUGAUUUCAGAGAGGAAGGGGAAGAGAGAGAGAGAGACAGAAAUAUCAAUGAUGAGAGAGAAUCAUCGAUAGGUAGUCUUCUGUACAUCCUCUACUGGGUAUCAAACUCACAUCCAUGUGCCCUGACUUGGAAUCAAACUA